AUCGCUUCUCGGCCUUUUGGCUAAGAUCAAAGUGUAGUAUCUGUUCUUAUCAGCUUAAUGAUCUAGCCCCGAGAAGUGAUUAGUUAAAUAACUGUGCUCAAGAAAAGAUCGUCGCAGAGGUGUUCGUGCUGUAUUCACUCCGGCACGAAACGACCAUACUUCCAGCAGUUCCGAGGAUGGAUCGACUGCUG